GGGCGGGUAGCGUAGUGGUCGGCGCGUUCACUUAACCCGCAUCAGCGUUAGUUUGUCAUGCUGAGCGUUCUUCAGCGAGAAGUCCUGGGUCCAAAUCCCAGCGCGCCCA